UACGUAGGGGGCAAGCGUUGUCCGGAAUUAUUGGGCGUAAAGAGCGUGUAGGCGGCCCGAUUAGUCCGCUGUGAAAGUCCAGGGCUCAACCCUGGAAUGCCGGUGGAUACUGUCGGGCUAGAGUCCGGAAGGGGCGAGUGGAAUUCCUGGUGUAGCGGUGAAAUGCGCAGAUAUCAGGAGGAACACCAAUGGCGAAGGCAGCUCGCUGGGACGUGACUGACGCUGAGACGCGAAAGCAUGGGGAGCAAACAGG
rnacentral:rRNA from 1 species